AAUUGGUAUCGGAAUUUCAAAUGUUUAUGAAGAAAACAGCCCAACUGCCCUCAUCGUUGAAGGCGUUUUCAACGCAGCAUCAGCCGGUAUCUUAAUCUAUAUGUCCCUUGUUGAUCUGCUAGCAGCUGAUUUUAUGAACCCAAAAAUGCAGAGCAAUGGAAGACUUCAAGCUGGGGCUAAUAUAUCUCUUCUUCUUGGAGCUGGUUGUAUGUCUCUGCUAGCCAAAUGGGCUUAAACUAAGCAGUCUAGGAUGUUGAUAAUUUUUUGUUCUUUUUCUUUGUGCCAUUUGCUAGAUUGUUUUUUCUCAAGUUCUGUGUUUUAUUUCCCCAUAAUUAGCAUCAAAUUAUGUAGUUUAAAUCUCAGAAUUCUGUGUUAAAAAAAAAAACAUUAAGUUGAUGGUGUAGUUUGUUUACAAUUCAAUAGAGGAGAAGUGUUUGUUUGUUUGCUAAAGAGUCAAACAUUCAAUCUGAACCAUUAGUCUAGUUGAUUCCUUUCCCAUGCAUUUGCAUCAAUGUCAAAGGCCCACAAGAUUGUAGUCGGAAAAUUAAGAGAAAGCGUGUCCCCCCAUUUUUCCAAAGUGAUGGAAAAAGUCACCAGAAAUUUGUAAUGAGUGAUUGAAAAUUCAUAAGAAAAUCCAAGUCCAUUGUAACAAAAAGGAACACAAAAAGAAAUUCUAUGCUGAACUGACAUGUAGGAUUGAGAUGGUUCUUGGCC
rnacentral:lncRNA from 1 species